rnacentral:rRNA from 1 species
CAUCGCCUUUUGUCAAAAUAGAAGGUCUAGCCUGCCCACUGAAAUUUAAAGGGCCGCGGUAUAUUGACCGUGCAAAGGUAGCAUAAUCAUUAGUCUUCUAAUUAAAGGCUGGUAUGAAUGGCUGGACGAGGUGCUGGCUGUCUCUUUAAAACUAAAAUGGAAUUUAACUUUUUAGUCAAAAGGCUAAAAUAUAAUUGGAGGACGAGAAGACCCUAUAGAGCUUUAUAUUUUAUAAACUUAACUCUUUUAGUAGGAUUUCGGUUUAGUUGUAAAAAUAUUUCGUUGGGGUGACGGGAAGAUAAAAAUAACUCUUUUUAGACAUUAACACUGAUGAGUGGGUAAUUGAUCCGUUAUUUACGAUUAAAAGACUAAGUUACCUUAGGGAUAACAGCGUAAUCUUUUUCGAGAGUUCUUAUCGACAAAAAGGGUUGCGACCUCGAUGUUGGAUUAAGGAUUAUUUUUGGGUGCAGAAGUUCAAAAUUUAGGUCGUCG